GUGCAGAAUUAUUAGGCAAGUUGUAUUUUUGAGGAUUAAUUUUAUUAUUGAACAACCAUGUUCUCAAUGAACCCAAAAAACUCAUUAAUAUCAAAGCUGAAUAUUUUUGGAAGUAGUUUUUAGUUUUAGCUAUGUUAGGGGGAUAUCUGUGUGUGCAGGUGACUAUUACUGUGCAUAAUUAUUAGGCAACUUAACAAAAAACAAAUAUAUACCCAUUUCAAUUAUUUAUUAUUAC